rnacentral:rRNA from 1 species
AAGCGGAGGAAAAGAAACUAACAAGGAUUCCCCUAGUAACUGCGAGUGAAGCGGGAAAAGCUCAAAUUUAAAAUCUGGCGGUCCCUGUGGCCGUCCGAGUUGUAAUUUAGAGAAGUGUUAUCCGCGUUGGACCGUGUACAAGUCUCCUGGAAUGGAGCGUCAUAGAGGGUGAGAAUCCCGUCUUUGACACGGACUACCAAGGCAUUGUGAUGCGCUCUCGAAGAGUCGAGUUGUUUGGGAAUGCAGCUCAAAAUGGGUGGUAAAUUCCAUCUAAAGCUAAAUAUUGAGGAGAGACCGAUAGCGAACAAGUACCGUGAGGGAAAGAUGAAAAGAACUUUGGAAAGAGAGUUAAACAGUACGUGAAAUUGCUGAAAGGGAAACGCUUGAAGUCAGUCGCGUUGUUCAGAACUCAGCCCGGCUUUGCUUGGUGUACUUUCUGUUCAACGGGUCAGCAUCAGUUUCGGUCGGCGGAUAAAGGCUUAGAGAAUGUGGCAUCUUCGGGUGUGUUAUAGCUCUGAGUUGUAUACGUCGGCUGGGACUGAGGAACUCAGCACGCCGAAAGGCCGGGAUUUAUCCACGUUCGUGCUUAGGAUGCUGGCAUAAUGGCUUUAAUCGACCCGUCUUGAA